rnacentral:rRNA from 1 species
UACAGAGGGUGCGAGCGUUAUCCGGAAUCACUGGGCGUAAAGCGUGCGUAGACGGUUGCGUAAGUCAGAUGUGAAAGCCCCGGGCUCAACCUGGGAAUUGCACCUCAAACUACAUGGCUAGAGCAUUGGAGAGGGUAGCAGAAUUCAUGGUGUAGCAGUGAAAUGCGUAGAUAUCAUGAGGAAUACCAGAGGCGAAGGCGGCUACCUGGACAAUUGCUGACGCUCAGGCACGAAAGCGUGGGGAGCAAAAGGG